GGCACACAGGCCCUGGUCCCCAACUCAUCUGGGUGUUUGCACCUCAUCCACCACCACGUGAGAUGUUUGGAUCGGCUCUCCAGAGGGCACUCCUAAUGGAAUGAGAGGCAUCAAAGGAUAUCUACGGUUGUGGAAGAUCAGGCACUGCCCAGAAACACAGCAGAUCAUAGAAGGGCCCGGGUUGGAAGGGACCUCAAGGAUCAUGAAGCUCCAACCGCCUCGCUGCAGAUAUUUCUUCCCUUUGGAUUGCAAGUCAACCAGCCUGCAACUCUGCCACCUUAAGAUAGCUUCAGAAAACUGCAGGCUCCUGCUGGCCAGACUAGCCCUGACGCCUCCUCCAUCCUCUAUCUCCAACUUCCAUCUCCAUCCUUCACCCUGCGUCCUCUUGACGAUCCCAGAGCACAGAGCAGGAGCACACCCCGCUGAUGACAACUGGUUUUCCUGCAGAACUAUCAGUGGUUUGGAUGAUGAGUUUCCUCCUGAAAGGACCUGGUCCUUUUGGUGCCAGGACCAGGUGACACCGAUGGCUCUGCAGGUGCUGGAAGAGUCGGUCCUGAAGGAUUUGCCACCUUCUGCAGGAAUAGAGCUCUAUAAGACGUGUCACCCAUCAGUGGAAACGCCAGCACCAGCCACAAGGAUGCUCAGACCAGUGUCACCCUGCUGUGACACCGAGUGACGGCACUCAAGGGUAUGAGAAAUGCCUCAAGCAGAGCCAAGCUGAUAAAGAUCACCAAUGUGAAAAUUGCAUUUCCUUCACCCAGUCCAUGCUGCGAGAAGCAACGGCAC
rnacentral:lncRNA from 1 species